ACGUAGGGUCCGAGCGUUGUCCGGAAUUACUGGGCGUAAAGCGCGCGCAGGCGGUCUGGUCAGUCGAUGGUGAAAGCCCCACGCUCAACGUGGGAAGGUCCGUCGAGACGGCCAGACUGGAGGCAGGGAGAGGUCGGUGGAAUUCCGGGUGUAGUGGUGAAAUGCGUAGAGAUCCGGAGGAACACCAGUGGCGAAGGCGAUUCGCUGGGCCUACUCUGACGCUCAGACGCGACAGCAUGGGGAGCGAACGG
rnacentral:rRNA from 1 species